rnacentral:misc_RNA from 1 species
GGAAGUAAAAGUCGUAAUAAGGUCUCCGUAGGUGAACCUGCGGAGGGAUCAUUACAGAGUUCUCGCCCUCACGGGUAGAUCCCCCACCCACUGUUAUCGUUACUGUCGUUUCUUUGGCGGGCCGCCAGGUCCCUGGCCGCUGGCGCCUAGCUGCCAGCGCGCGCCCGCCAGAGGCCUUCAAACUCUGAAUGUUAGCGUCGUCUGAGUACUAUACAAUAGUUAAAACUUUCAACAACGGAUCUCUUGGUUCUG